CCUACUGGAGGCAGCAGUGGGGAAUUUUGCGCAAUGCGCGAAAGAGUGACGCAGCGACGCCGCGUGAAUGACGAAGGCCUUCGGGUCGUAAAGCUCUUUCGACAGGGAAGAACAGUCCUAUAAGUAACUGUGUAUGUAUUGACGGUACCUGUAUAAGCAGCCCCGGCUAACUCCGUGCCAGCAGCCGCGGUAAUACGGAGGGGGCGAGCGUUGUUCGGAGUGACUGGGCGUAAAGGGCACGUGGGCGGUGUGGUAAGUCAUUAGUGAAAGCCUAGAGCGCAACUUUGGUAAGGCUUGUGAUACUGUCAUACUGGAGUAUCAGAGAGGAUAGCGGAAUUCGUGGUGUAGGGGUGAAAUGCGUAGAUAUCAGGAGGAAUACCGUUGGCGAAGGCGGCAAUCUGGCUGGAAACUGACGCUGAGGUGCGAAAGCGUGGGUAGCAAACAGGAUUAGAUACCCGAGUAGUC
rnacentral:rRNA from 1 species